CCCUUCGGGGUACUCGAGUGGCGAACGGGUGAGUAACACGUGGGUGAUCUGCCCCUGACUUUGGGAUAAGCCUGGGAAACUGGGUCUAAUACCGGAUAUUACCUUCCACUGCAUGGUGGGGGGUGGAAAGCUUUUGCGGUUAGGGAUGGGCCCGCGGCCUAUCAGCUUGUUGGUGGGGUAAUGGCCUACCAAGGCGACGACGGGUAGCCGACCUGAGAGGGUGAUCGGCCACACUGGGACUGAGACACGGCCCAGACUCCUACGGGAGGCAGCAGUGGGGAAUAUUGCACAAUGGGCGGAAGCCUGAUGCAGCGACGCCGCGUGAGGGAUGACGGCUUCGGGUUGUAAACCUCUUUCGCCGGGGACGAAGCUUUCGGGGUGACGGUACUUGG
rnacentral:rRNA from 1 species